AUUGAACGCUGGCGGCAUGCUUUACACAUGCAAGUCGAACGGUAACAGGCCGCAAGGUGCUGACGAGUGGCGAACGGGUGAGUAAUGCAUCGGAACGUGCCCAGUCGUGGGGGAUAACGCAGCGAAAGCUGUGCUAAUACCGCAUACGAUCUAUGGAUGAAAGCGGGGGACCGAAAGGCCUCGCGCGAUUGGAGCGGCCGAUGUCAGAUUAGGUAGUUGGUGGGGUAAAGGCCUACCAAGCCAACGAUCUGUAGCUGGUCUGAGAGGACGACCAGCCACACUGGGACUGAGACACGGCCCAGACUCCUACGGGAGGCAGCAGUGGGGAAUUUUGGACAAUGGGCGCAAGCCUGAUCCAGCAAUGCCGCGUGCAGGAAGAAGGCCUUCGGGUUGUAAACUGCUUUUGUACGGAACGAAACGGUCUGGAUUAAUACCCUGUACUAAUGACGGUACCGUAAGAAUAAGCACCGGCUAACUACGUG
rnacentral:rRNA from 1 species